CCUACGGGUGGCUGCAGUCGAGAAUCAUUCACAAUGGGGGAAACCCUGAUGGUGCGACGCCGCGUGGGGGAAUGAAGGUCUUCGGAUUGUAAACCCCUGUCAUGUGGGGGCAAAUUAAAAAGAUAGUACCACAAGAGGAAGAGACGGCUAACUCUGUGCCAGCAGCCGCGGUAAUACAGAGGUCUCAAGCGUUGUUCGGAAUCACUGGGCGUAAGGCGUGCGUAGGCUGUUUCGUAAGUCGUGUGUGAAAGGCGCGGGCUCAACCCGCGGACGGCACAUGAUACUGGGAGACUAGAGUAAUGGAGGGGGAACCGGAAUUCUCGGUGUAGCAGUGAAAUGCGUAGAUAUCGAGAGGAACACUCGUGGCGAAGGCGGGUUCCUGGACAUUAACUGACGCUGAGGCACGAAGGCCAGGGGAGCGAAAGGGAUUAGAUACCCGUGUAGUC
rnacentral:rRNA from 1 species